CCUACGGGUGGCAGCAGUGAGGAAUAUUGGUCAAUGGCCGAGAGGCUGAACCAGCCAAGUCGCGUGAGGGAAGACGGCCCUACGGGUUGUAAACCUCUUUUGUCGGGGAGCAAAGCGAACCACGUGUGGUUCAUUGAGAGUACCCGAAGAAAAAGCAUCGGCUAACUCCGUGCCAGCAGCCGCGGUAAUACGGAGGAUGCGAGCGUUAUCCGGAUUUAUUGGGUUUAAAGGGUGCGCAGGCGGAGGUGCAAGUCAGCGGUCAAAUUGCGGGGCUCAACCUCGCUCCGCCGUUGAAACUGGCGUUCUUGAGUGGGCGAGAAGUAUGCGGAAUGCGUGGUGUAGCGGUGAAAUGCAUAGAUAUCACGCAGAACUCCGAUUGCGAAGGCAGCAUACCGGCGCCCAACUGACGCUGAAGCACGAAAGCGUGGGUAUCGAACAGGAUUAGAUACCCGGGUAGUC
rnacentral:rRNA from 1 species